rnacentral:rRNA from 1 species
GGAAUCUUAGACAAUGGGGGAAACCCUGAUCUAGCCAUGCCGCGUGAGUGACGAAGGCCCUAGGGUCGUAAAGCUCUUUCGCCAGGGAAGAUAAUGACGGUACCUGGUAAAGGAGUCCCGGCCAACUCCGUGCCAGCAGCCGCGGUAAUACGGAGGGGACUAGCGUUGUUCGGAAUUACUGGGCGUAAAGCGCGCGUAGGCGGACUAUUAAGUCAGGGGUGAAAUCCCGGGGCUCAACCCCGGAACUGCCUCUGAUACUGGUAGUCUUGAGUUCGAGGAAGGUGAGUGGAAUUCCGAGUGUAGAGGUGAAAUUCGUAGAUAUUCGGAGGAACACCAGUGGCGAAGGCGGCUCAAUGGCUCGAUACUGACGCUGAGGUGCGAAAGCGUGGGGAGCA